GAUGAACGCUGGCGGCGUGCCUAAUACAUGCAAGUCGAGCGAACAGACGAGGAGCUUGCUCCUCUGACGUUAGCGGCGGACGGGUGAGUAACACGUGGAUAACCUACCUAUAAGACUGGGAUAACUUCGGGAAACCGGAGCUAAUACCGGAUAAUAUAUUGAACCGCAUGGUUCAAUAGUGAAAGACGGUUUUGCUGUCACUUAUAGAUGGAUCCGCGUCGCAUUAGCUAGUUGGUAAGGUAACGGCUUACCAAGGCAACGAUGCGUAGCCGACCUGAGAGGGUGACCGGCCACACUGGAACUGAGACACGGUACAGACUCCUACGGGAGGCAGCAGUAGGGAAUCUUCCGCACUGGGCGAAAGCUUGACGGAGCAACGCCGCGUGAGUGAUGAAGGUCUUCGGAUCGUAAAACUCUGUUAUUAGGGAAGAACAAAUGUGUAAGUAACUAUGCACGUCUUGACGGUACCUAAUCAGAAAGCAACGACUAACUACGUG
rnacentral:rRNA from 1 species